UGCAUAAAUAUAAAAUUAAUUGCCGUUUGCUCUUUUUCGAAGAAUUCUGAGCUAGUUCUGAACUAGUGCAAUAUGUUAGAGUGAAACAA